CCAAUACUAUCACUACCCGUAGCUCCUGGCAUUUACACCUGACCAGACUUAUAAAUCAGUAAGCCCAAAGUGAUUAAUUCAACAAGAGAGGGGCACUUGUUCCAAGCUAGCAUGGAGAAUUUGGCUGGGAAUAUUCAUUCAAGAUUGCAUGCAGAGAGGGCAGCUGACAUCUUUGGUUCCAAGGAGAAUGCGGAGACAUGUGGAGCAGAAUUAACUCUACCUGAGCAUUAGAGCCAAGUCCAGCCAUCCUACAACCUGAAGAAGCACUACCCCAGCUGACCUGCAGAACUGCAAGAAAAAUAAUCAUUGUAAUUCCAUGAGAUUCUUAGAUGGUUCAUUACAUAGCAAAAGUUGACGGAUGCAGACAACAUCUCCUUUCUAAAAA